rnacentral:rRNA from 1 species
AGAGUUUGAUUCUGGCUCAGGACGAACGCUGGCGGCGUGCUUAACACAUGCAAGUCGAACGGUGACGGAGAGCUUGCUCUCCUGAUCAGUGGCGAACGGGUGAGUAACACGUGGGCAAUCUGCCCCUGACUUCGGGAUAACGCUUCGAAAGAGGUGCUAAUACCGGAUACGAAUCCUGCAGGCAUCUGCGGGAUUGGAAAGUUUUUCGGUCAGGGAUGAGCCCGCGGCCUAUCAGCUAGUUGGUGAGGUAAUGGCUCACCAAGGCGACGACGGGUAGCCGGCCUGAGAGGGCGACCGGCCACACUGGGACUGAGACACGGCCCAGACUCCUACGGGAGGCAGCAGUGGGGAAUAUUGCGCAAUGGGCGAAAGCCUGACGCAGCAACGCCGCGUGAGGGAUGACGGCCUUCGGGUCGUAAAGCUCUGUCCUCAAGGAAGAUAAUGACGGUACUUGAGGAGGAAGCCCCGGCUAACUACGUGCCAGCCGCCGCGGUAA